ensembl:snoRNA
AUAUUUAUCAUAUGGCAGGCCUGUCCCCCUGGGUCUUUCAUAAUGUCCCAUGCCAGAGCAAACUGUGGCCCUGAACCAUUGCCUGGCCUGUGCCUAUAGGCUGCUGGCACUGAAGAGGGCUGCACAGUG